UUGUUUUAGACAUUAGAGCUGGUUAUCAUGUUUCUGGUUUUCUUUUCCUUCCAGGAACAUGGGAAGAUCAAACUUUCAUGUUCCCUUGAAGUUUAAUAUGGCUGUGUAGCCACCCAAAAUUUAUUGGGGUCUUUUCUAUGCCCCCAAAUCUCAAAAUUGCUUUGACAGUUGGGUAUUACAUCUCUUCUCAAAUAUACAGGGAAAAAAUGAAAAUCUUCUUCGGCUGCGGUCAGCAUGGGCUAUCCCCCAAACUUGAAGGGUUUGCUCCGGUCCCGUCGGUGUAUCUGCAGACCCUUGCCUGCCCCGGAUGAGCUCUGAGAGAUUGAGAGACAGAGCAAGCAGGGGGAGGAGAAGAAGGAGAGGGACAAGCAGACUCUACACUGAGUGCAGAGCCUGAGGAGGAGCUCAACCCACGACCCUGAGAUCAUGACCUGAGCCAAAAGCAAGAGUUGUAGACUCAACUGACUGAGCCCCCCAGGUGCCCAAUCAAUAUCCUUUUGAUUCAUUUAUCUGAGCUUUGUUUUUUCAGUUUAAUCAAGGGUCUACCAGCAUAUUUGGUAAAAUUAAUAUGUUUUUAAAAUUUUAAGCAUUA